rnacentral:lncRNA from 1 species
AAAAAGAUAUAGGUAGAGUGUUUAUAUCCUUAUGGUGGACUAGAACUAAGAAAUUGAUAUAUUUUCAGCAACAACAAAUGGUAAUGCAUGUGCAUCGUAAAUCAAAUAUAUACAAAGAGUUGAACUGUUAGAUACUGAUAGCUGCAGCCUUAGGGGGUAAGUGCGUGACCUCCUAACUGGUUUGGCAGAUCUAGUAGGAGCAAUUGGUUCGAAGACCGAAUUUCUUGGAAGUUGCCAUCAUAUUCAAUAUUUGAGACAUUCACACACAGCUGCAGGCCUUCAACAUAAGACUGGAAAUUCCUUCUCUAUCAUCAAAGGUUUCAAACCAGAGAUCAAUAAUGAUACAACCUUUUGCUAGAACAAAGAUGCUGUAAAUGAGGCUCUGAGUUGGUUGUUGGAACGACACCACUUUUAUAUAUUGUUUAAUCAUAUAUUGUAAAGAAAAAGUCAUAUGACACAACCUUUUACACCUAAAAGAAACAGUCAUAUUAUAUCAACGUUCUAUAGGGAACUUUUGAUUAUGGUUUAUCCAUUUUAUAAAUAUGUUGGGCCUGUGUGAUCCAUCUAGUUAUAAUAUAAUAACUUAUUAAAGAUGGUACCAGCAUAUUAUGGUUAUAUUAUACAUAACUGAUUGAAUUUGAGACAAGCCAACAUUUAUAUUGUGCUUAGAGGACUAGCAGCAAGGCACAUGUGUACAACAACAACUAUUAUCCAGUAAAAUUCCACAUAGUGGGGUCUGGGGAAGGUAAUGUAUACGCAGACCUUAUUUCUGUCCCGAUAGGGGCAGAAAGACUAUUUUCGAUAGACCUUCGGCUCAGAAAGAUGAAAAUAAAAUAAGAAACAAGAAAAGAGAAUUCAUUAGUAACUCCAGUAGAAACCGUAAUAGUAACAGAAGCAUAAAAACUUAUAGAUGAAUGACAUGCAAUAACAGUAACAAGAAUCUAAGGCCCGGGGCUAAGAUAAACAACAAGAAUAGUGUGGGUUCAACAUAAACUGCAAGCCAUCUAAGAUCAACCAUAAUCCAACCCUGCCUCACCCCCGGUAUGAAGUAAGGAAAACUUUACUACCCCUAUCCUACAACCCUAAUGCUUGACCUUCAGGCCUUCCUAUCAAGGACCAUGUCCUCGGAAAUCUGCAGUUGUACCAUGUCCUGCCUGAUCUCCUCUCCCCAACACUUCUUAGGUCUCCCUCUACCUCUUUUCGUACCCACUACGGCCAACCGCUCACACCUCCUCACCGGUGCAUCAAGGCUUCUCCUCUGCACGUGCCUGAACCAUCCGAGCCUCGCUUCCCGCAUCUUGUCAUCCACAGGGGUGACGCCACCUUCUUCUGAAUAUCUUCAUUCCUAAUCUUGUCUAUCCUAGUGUGCCCGCACAUCCACCUCAACAAGGUGCCUGUGUAGUCUUUUUAUUUAAUAAGGUGAAUAUCUAAGUCCUAUUUAUAGCCCGUUUGACCAAGCUGCAAAAAUCAGCUUAUUUUGAGAAGUGCUUUUUUUCAAAGUACUUUUUUCAAAAGUACCUUUGGUGAGAAGCAGUUUGUAUUUGGCUAAUUAGUUUGAAAAGCAUUUCUGAGUAGUAAUUAGUGUUUGGUCAAGCUUUAAAAAACUGCUUCUAAGUGUAUUUUUCUCAAAAGUGCUUCUCAAAAAAAGUACUUUUGGAGAGAAGCUACUUUUUUCUGCUUCUCUAAAACUGCUUCUGCUUCUCCUCAAAAGCACUUUUUUUCCUUCCAAAAGCUUGGCCAAACACCUCAAUUUUUGGCCAAAAGUGCUUUUGGCAAAAUAAACACUUUUAGCCAAAAAGAAGCUUGGCCAAAAGGGCUAUUAAUCAUUUUAAGUGGAAAGUGCAGCCCACGAAGGGUGCUAAUGCAUAAAAAUUGCAUGGGGUAGUCACUUUUUAAAGUGAUAUUUAUUUUUUAUCCAGUAUUUUUAAUACUGAGCAAAAAUAACAACUAGUCUAUUAAAAUUAAUAUGAAAAGCCGGUGUUACCCGUUCUUCUAUCUCUUUUGUGUUCAUUUCUCUUCCUUGCCAGUGUACCUCCGGCGACCAAACCGGUAACUGAAAUACAUGCGGAGCAGUUGCCGCCAUUAAUGCACAAGCUAGCGGAGAUCACGUGAAGUUGAGAUCUAGAGAAUCUUCUGGCGAUUUCUCAAGUCAUACGGAUAAUAUGGGAAGCAACUGGAGAAUGGUACAGUAGAGGAUUACUCCAUAAGAAAAGAGUCUACUUUUCAUCUUGUUUUUCGCAUGCUUGGUGCUAUGUAUCCAAAUCUUGAAUUUUCUCGUAAAAAAUACUUUGAUUUUGUACUUUUUGUUUAAGCAAUAUUAGCCAGAAUCAG